AUGUCUGCUAUGGUUUCUGUCCUUUCUCAAGUUAUUGGAAACAGUACCACCCAUUCUUCUUCUGCUAAUGCUACUCCAUUAACCCUACCUCAAUCUGCUGUAGCUCUCCAAAACCAAUCUCAAUCUAUUGAGGAUCAAGGUACACACUACUCUCCCCACACCCCGGACCUAUUUAUGGGAUUACACUGUGUUGUUAAGUGUCUCACGUUAGGGAGUGAGUUGUCGUCGUCUCCUUAUAUAAUCUUGAACAAUGCUAACCUAUUAAAUUAGUUCCAGAAUUGAGUUAGAUCCAAGAUCCAUGUUCUUAAUUAACAUAGAUGCAAAAAAAAAAAAUAUAUAUAUAUAUAUUUUUACAAGUUGCUAAGCAUAUUCGUUGGCAGAAUUUCUGUACGUAGCUUGAAGAAUGACAAUCGUUUUCUUAAAAGAUUACUAUAUUUAAUUAUAUGUAUUAUCUGACUCAUUUCUUUUUUCCCAAGCCGAUACAUAUUUUUAUAACUCUAUAUAAUCUAAUUAUGCACCUCAUUAAUAUCUUGUUCAUGACCACUACUAUGGGUGGCGUCCUUAAUUAAUUGACAUUCUAGUUUCUAAUUCCCUAAAUGGAAAUAAACUGAUUGUUUCCUCCUUCAUUCUUCCCACUAAAUUUCUUCGAAGCAAAACAAAAGAGAAAGGAAAACAAAGACUUCCGGGGAAAAAGAAAAAGAAAAAGAAAAGCAAGGAACAUUAGGUAGCAGUUAACUUCAACUAGUUCAAUUUCUUCCUAGAGUUACACCGACCUCGGUUGUCAAGAUCACAACAAAUCUAAUCAAGUUUUCUUAAUAGGAGUAGAAUUUAUCUUAUAUACAUUGAAAUUCAAAAAAAAAAAAACUAACACUAUCAAUGUAACGUAACCUCCCUAUUGCAGAUAAUCUAUAGAAAUAAUAUUAUUUUUCAAGUUAUUACGUAUACGUAUAUAGUCCGACCUCUCUAUAACAAUCGUGCUUUAUAAUAACACUUCCCUAUAACGGUCAAGUUUUCUUUGGAACUAAUUUUUCAUGUUAUGUUAUAAUAUAUAUUUUCUAUGACAGCACUUCAUAAUAGUAGUCAAAAAGUUUCGAAACAAAGGAUGUUGUUAUGGAGAGAUUUUAGGUGAUCAAUCUAAUAACAGUGUGUGUAUAAUAUGUGAAGGGAAUUCGAGAAGAAAAAGGUAUAGAGGAGUGAGGCAAAGACCAUGGGGAAAGUGGGCAGCCGAAAUCCGAGACCCAAAGAAAGCAGCUAGAGUAUGGCUUGGCACUUUUGAAACUGCUGAGGCUGCAGCAAUUGCCUACGAUGAAGCAGCUCUCAGAUUCAAAGGCAACAAAGCCAAACUCAACUUCCCUGAAAGAGUUCAAGGCAAAUUCCAAUACCUUACUACUACUACUAGUCAAAAUCAUCACUUGCCUGAUAAUAUUGUUCAACAACAAUAUAUUCCAACUAGCUCCAAUAAUAAUCAUCCUCUCCCUUGUCAAGAACAUUAUCCUAGUUUACAUCACUAUGCUCAGCUACUUCAGAGUGACAGCAAUAUUACUGAUUUAAACUUCGGUAUCUCGCCAAGUUAUAAUCAGCAGUUAUCUGCUUCUUUUGAUUUUGCGCAAUCAUCAUCUAACAGUACAUUAUCGGAAUUGCCAGCUUCUUAUGAGCAGAGGCAAUUACAAUCAAGUUACAAGCAAGAAGAAGAAGUUUUAAUGAGAUUUUCAUCGCAUUUUGGUACUACUUCAAGCUCAUCUGGACCUCAUGAAAGUAACUGGGAAGAGUUUGAAGAUAGAAAGUCAUAAGUUCAUUCCCUAGUAUUAAGAGAUACGAAGACUGAAAGAAGUUUUAUGAGAUUUCCGUCGCAUUUUAUUUCGUAGUUUAUGGUUUUACUGGGGUUUUCUGUCCUCUGAUCUUGUAUUUCAGUUAAGUGUAAUAGUAGAACUAUAUAUAUUCAUGAAUUAAUGGAAAAAUAUUGGUGUGGUUUUAUGUGUUUAAAGGUUAAGUGUCAAGCUAACACUCCUGACGACAACAACAACCUACCCAGUGUGAUCUCACAAGUGAAAUCUGAAUAGGGUAGUCAGGGGCGGCUCAACGAAUUUUGUGGCGUAAAGCCAAAAUAUAUUAAAAGGCCCUUAAAUUUAUUUCUUUUAUAAAAUCCAUAGAAUAAUAAGAUACAAAGCAAACUCUAGGACUUUGGCUUAGUGGUAUCGUAAAUAAAAAUAUGACAUUAAUUAAGUGGAAGAAGAUAGAGGGAGCACGACGAUUAUCUGUUUCGAAUCUUGUGCGCCAUUGCAUUUGGGGGGUUUUCUCUUAAAAAGAUGAACCAAAAAAGAGUUGCUUGAUGGAUCAAUAAAAUAAGGUGAAAAGAAAUAACCAACUUAGAGAAACUGAAAAUUAGUAAGUAAAAUCAUUAGAAACAUUAGAAAAAAACAUGAGUGUACAUACAGGAGAAAAAAAUUAAAUUUGAUAAUAAAGGUAAAUACAUCAUUCAAUUAAACGAGAAAGAAAUUUAUCGUUAUUUACCACCCAGCUCUAUAUCUUUAAUUAAAACUUUUAAAAUAUUUUAUUAAUAAUAUUUACAUAAAAUAUAUGUGACACAUAGUACUUAAAAUUGGGCCUUAAUAUUUUGGGGGCCUAAGGCAAUGACUUCAUUUGCCUUGCCCUUAGGCCGCCUCUAAGGGUAGUGUGUGUACGCAGACUUACCCCUACCUUGUGCAGGUAGUGAAGUUGUUUCUAAUAGAUUCUCGGCUGAAAGCAAGCAUGCAAAAAUGAACUCAAUUCUUAAGGGACUUCCGAAUAAUUUUCAAUCGUCUAAAAAAAUUAACAAAUUUAUGAAAUGUGUUUAUUUGAUGCAUCAACAUUGAUUCAUUUAGUGACUGCUAUUGUGCCUUACAAACGGCUAAAUAGAGCACUAUUCACUGUAUUGGAUUAAAGAAAAUGAACCCCUUUCUCAUUUUGGACAAGACAGUCAUUUGCAAAGAUAAACUCAAUUCAUAUGGGACUUCUCUAAAUAAUUUUAAAUCGUCUCAAAAAAAUAUUACAAAUUUGUCAAGUGUUACACCUAGUCCAUGUUUCUCAAUGUGAGUAUUUGUAAAGCAUAUGGCAUUCAAUGAAAAUGGUACAUGCAUAAUGAUGUCAAGUUAAAUAAGUGGAAGCUAAUAGCUAUAUAUAGCUAAUAGAAGAAUAGAAUUUUGAUUAUGUUACGUUGUAGCUGAAGUUGGCUAGUAAUUGAAUUGCCUCUUUUGCAUGGCAAGGAAAUUAAUUAAAGUAAGAACGAGGGGGAACGCAAUUAUUGGGCAACUAAGUUUUGCUUCCGUUCAGUUGCAUUAUAGGCAAUUAGAUUUGUGGAACGCCGUCCUUUCCUUUAAUUGUUACGUAUAAAUUAGAGGCGAAGCUAGAAUUUAAAGUUUGUGGGUUCGAGAUUCUAAUUCAUUUAUGUUACUGGGUUCUAAAUUAACAAUUUAUACAUAUUCAAUGAAGUUUUAAGACAAAUACAUGAUUUGGAUCAAAGUUACUGAGUUCCGCCGAACCCGCAAGCUCUAUGCUAGCUCCGCCCCUGGUAUAAAGUAGUAGAUGAUACUGCUAAGUAAGUAAGGAUAUCCAGUUUUCGAUCAGCUUCCUACCGUUAAUAGAUCAUAGUGAACAUACGAAAUAUUUCGCGAUUUCCCUACAUCUUAACCAUUUGAUUUUAUUUAUCAUAUACAAUAAUACCAAUAUUAGAAGAUUUACAUUAUUAUAUUUCUUCUUAAGAUUGUUGUGAUUUUGCAUGCUUGCUUUGAGCCGAUAUUCUAUCGAAAACAGUCUCAGUCUGCACAAGAUAGGAGUAAGGUUGCGUACUCACUACUUUUUUCAGACCCACAUAUUAGAUUAUGUAUAUAUAGGAGCUUAAGUUCUAUACAAAGACAAUUUUAAUUUUUUAAACGCCCUAAAAUAUAAUAACAUAUAGCUGUCCGAUGAAGUAGAUUAAUUAUAUGAAAAAUAAAAAGACAAUCUACUACUACCUCCGUUCCAGUUUACGUGAACCUAUUUCCUUUUUGGUCUGUUCUAAAAAGAAUGACUCCUUUCUAAAUUUGAAAAUAAUUUUACUUAAACUUACAAUUUUACCCUUAAUGAGAAGCUUUUAUAACCAUACAAAUAUUGUGGAUCCCUUUUUAAAUUGUUUAAGACCACAAGUUCUAAAAAUAUUUUUUUUUUUAAAUUCCGUGUCCAGUCAAAUAGAUUUACAAUUAUAAGAGAGUAAUAAAAAAUUAAAUAAUACUGUGCAAUAUUUUCUUGAACAUCGCUGCGUAUAAGUCAAAUCCUACGUAUAGGUAGUAAAGACGUCCUGCUCACCAAUUAAUGAUUGCGGCGCUUAAGCCAUAGAGUGAUCAGGGCACAAUGGACCAAUAUUAACUAUUCGUAUACGUCUUUUUUCGGACUCUGUAUAUACUUCGAGAUACUUUGGGCAUAUAUCGGGCUGACUUUUUGUAUAAUAUAAAAUAAUUUUUUAUUUAAUUGAUAAUUCCGACGAUAUUUUAGCCGAUUGUUAAAGAACAUCAAACAUUCCAAACAUAAACCGGCGAACUUAAAAAAGGAGGGAGAAAAAGUAGAAAAAAUAGAUAUAUAUAUAUAAGAAAGAAAAGGCAUAUAUACUUCCCUUUCCUUUGUUAUGAAGCUAGUUUGAAAACUGACCUUUUGGCAUUAAUUCCAAAGCUUGAAAAAAUGAUCAUCUGAGCUUCCUCUUUUAGCAUAUAAACGUGCAUGUCUGAUCAUUCUCAGAAGCUUUAUUGAAAAACAAGUUGAAGAUGACUAUAUUUUAGUCUUAAAAAGGGUAGCUUGAGAAUAGAGUGAAAGUAAAGUGAACUUACAGCAUGCAUUUUUCAACUUCUAGGUCUGCAUUCUCUGUAUCUUAUAUUACCUUUAUAAAGAGAUAGAGAGAGAACAAAUGUGAAAGGUUGAACAAAUGUUUAACAAAG
rnacentral:lncRNA from 1 species